rnacentral:rRNA from 1 species
UACGUAGGGUGCGAGCGUUGUCCGGAAUUAUUGGGCGUAAAGAGCUUGUAGGCGGUUUGUCGCGUCUGCUGUGAAAUCUCAAGGCUCAACCUUGAGCUUGCAGUGGGGUACGGGCAGACUAGAGUGUGGUAGGGGAGACUGGAAUUCCUGGGUGUAGCGGUGAAAUGCGCAGAUAUCAGGAGGAACACCGAUGACCGAAGGCAGGUCUCU